rnacentral:rRNA from 1 species
CCUACGGGUGGCCGCAGUGGGGAAUAUUGGUCAAUGGACGAAAGGCUGAACCAGCCAAGUCGCGUGAAGGCUGAAGGAUCUCUGUUUUGUAAACUUCUUUUAUAGGGGAAUAAAGGUAUCCUCGUGUGGAUCUUUGCAUUUACCCUAUGAAUAAGCAUCGGCUAACUCCAGGCCAGCAGCCGCGGUAAUACGGUGGAUGCGAGCGUUAUCCUGAUUUAUUUGGUUGAAAGGGUGCGUAGGUUGUUUGUUAAGUCAGCUGUGAAAGUUUGUGGCUCAACCAUAAAAUUGCCGUUGAAACUGGAAGACUUGAGUGUGUUAGAGGUAGGCGGAAUGCGUGGUGUAGCGGUGAAAUGCAUAGAUAUCACGAAGAACUCCGAUUGCGAAGGCAGCUCACUGAGCCAUAACUGACACUGAAGCACGAAAGCGUGGGGAUCAAACAGGAUUAGAUACCCCUGUAGUC